rnacentral:misc_RNA from 1 species
AAGCUGCGAUAAGUAAUGUGAAUUGCAGAACUCAGUGAAUCAUCGAGUCUUCGAACGCAUAUUGCGCCCCCGGCACUCCGGGGGGCACGCCUGUCCGAGCGUCGUCGACGACCCAUCGGGCCCCCGCUGCUGGGGUCCGGCCUUGGGCCCUUGACGCCCCGACGUGGGCGGGCCCGCAAGUCACUGAUCGGUCGUCCCCCGGGCCCCGAGCGCAGCGGCUGUAUCCAUUGCUCGAGGAGGCCUCCGGGCGAGACCGCACCGGCGUGGAAGCGCCCCCGAGGGGAUCGUACCCCCCCGGGAUCUCAGACCCGUUGACCUCGGAUCAGGUGGGGUUACCCGCUGAACUUAAGC